GUCCGGGAUGGUGGACACGGGGUUGUGGUAAAGUGGAGUCGGUCUCUACUUUGGGUUUCGGCUCCACUGUGGGAAUCGGCCUCUCCUCUUCCCGCCCUCGGAACAGUGAGUGUCUGUCAGCGCCUCACCGCACCGGCUCUCUGCCUCAGGAGUCAAACUGGACACACUGGAGGCCGUGGUUGAACAAAGGACCCUACGGAAAAUCCUGACAAUUCUGGACAAUGUUUCUCAUCCUCUGCAUGCCUCCUUGGCUGAACAGAGGAGCAUCUUCAGUAACACACUGAGACAACUGUGCUGCUCGGAGGAGGGCUGUAUGAAGUCAUCCUUACACUGGGCCAUUAGGCUCUGUAAUGAGUCAACCUGUAGCCGGGGAAGUGAUGACACCCCCCAUGUUAGACUGUUGGAGAUUAUAGACUCCAGUAGCUGAAGUGAAGUUAACUGGACUACAGUCACCUGCUUUUUAUCUUCCACCCUUCUUCAUCAAUGGUUUUCAACUCCACUGGGACCUUUCUGAAACCUGCAGGCUGGCAAUCCUGUGACACCGCUGAUGCCUGACUCCUUCGGUCUCUGCCGUUGCUCUGGGUUCAUCAGCUCCUGCAUGGGCAACAGCUUGCUUUACGUAUCGUACUACCCUGGUCUGCAUAUGGACUUCGACAGCCAGGGCGCAAUAUCCAUGAUCGUCCCUGACCAGCAGAGGGCCAUCACCAACAUGUCUGUCCACGGCCUCCUCUCCUGCUACGAUGAGGCCAAAUACAUGUUGGAUGAGCAGCACCUCGUGUUUUCACUGUGUAGCCUCCAAUCUUGAUGGCAUGAACAUUGAUGUCUCCAAAUUCCAGAUAUCACUACACACUGUUUCCUUCAUGCCCACUUCUUUCCCCCAUUCUGAUGGAAUUUAAUCCCUUCACCUCUCCUGAUGCACACUCCUGACCUGCCCAUCAUCUCUCUCUGAUUCUUUACCUCCUUCGUGUCAUCCCACGGUCCAACACUCUCUCCUAUUAGAUUCCUUUCUCUUCAUCUCUUUGCCUUUUCUGCCUGUCACGCAGCUCCUCAAAUCAUCAUCCCUUCACAAACCACACACCCCACUCACUUGUCCUCCCCCUUCCUCCACCACCUUUCUUUCUCAUCCCAAUGAGGUUCUCAGCCUGAAAUAUCGAUGUUUGCUGAGUUCCUGCAGUAUUUUGUGUGUGUUUGCUUCAGUCUGUGUGUUGAUUAAGCUGAUCAAACUGGUACAGUGGAAGAGGAAUUUGUGGAGUGGUCAGAGACAGUUUCUUACAGCAGGAUCUUACCCAGGAACAGGACAUUUCAGGUGUAAUCUGUGUAAUGAGGUGGGAUUACAGAGAGAUCUUGUGGUGAAGGAUCCCUGAAGAAGUGAUCACAAUGAGGGAGAACUCCAGACCACAGAUUGAGGGUGAAUUCAGGGUCCAGGUUUCAGGUCAGGGUUUUCCUUCCACUAGAUGAGCUGCCAAGCAUGGUUGACGAGCCCAUCUGCCCAAAGCAGUCGGCUGUAUGACAUUAGUAAACCGAUUUGCACCUUCCCCCGACACUAGAAACAGUUCCAUUGGGCUUAGUAGCUAAGCCAUAUGUUAAAGUCAGGAGCUGGAUUUGGCUGACAGAGGCAAUUUGAUGUGCACACCAUUGGCAGCUUUUAAUGGGAAUUGGGAUCUUGUCCCAUUAUCACUCCACCACUGGUUAAGACAGCUGUAAGGCACCAAUAUGUCAGUAUGUGAAUGGGAAAUGGAACUAGAAUGCAUUGCCAAUGGCAGAUUGUGGUUGUUUCAGCUCACAGAACAAAGGUACUCGAUGUAGUUUUACCACAAUCUGCUUCUGCUUAUAUCUCUCAUGACAAUCAGUGCUCCACUCUCAUCUCUCUUUGAUAUUUCCUCUUUUGUGCUUUAUCCCAUCGGGAGGAACACCUGAGGAUCUUGAGACCACUCCUCCCCGUGUCUUCUUUCCCUCCCCUUUCACCAUCGCUGUUCCUACAUGUAAAGUAAAGUAUUCAUGCCCCUUGGAAGUUUUCAUGUUUUAUUGUUUUAUGAUUUUGAAUCACAGUGGAUUAAAUUUGGCUUUUUUUACCUGA